rnacentral:tRNA from 1 species
GAGGGUAGAGCUCAGUGGUAGAGCCCAGGCUUGGCGUGCACGAGGUCCUGGGUUCAGUCCCCAGUACCUCCU